rnacentral:rRNA from 1 species
UACGGAGGGGGCGAGCGUUAUUCGGAAUUAUUGGGCGUAAAGGGCGCGUAGGCGGCUUGGCAAGUCAAAGGUGAAAUCCCUCGGCUCAACUGAGGAACUGCCUUUGAAACUGCCUGGCUUGAGGCCGGGAGGGGGUAGCGGAAUUCCCAGUGUAGCGGUGAAAUGCGUAGAUAUUGGGAGGAACACCAGUGGCGAAGGCGGCUACCUGGACCGGUUCUGACGCUGAUGCGCGAAAGCGUGGGUAGCAAACAGG